rnacentral:rRNA from 1 species
AGAGUUUGAUCCUGGCUCAGGAUGAACGCUGGCGGCGUGCUUAACACAUGCAAGUCGAACGAAGCACCUCUCCCGAAGAUUGACACAGCUUGCUGUAGAUUGAUUCAUUUGAGGUGACUGAGUGGCGGACGGGUGAGUAACGCGUGGGUAACCUGCCUCAUAGAGGGGGACAACAGUUGGAAACGACUGCUAAUACCGCAUAGUAAGAAGGAUUCGCAUGUUUCUUUCUUGAAAGCAUUUUGCGCUAUGAGAUGGACCCGCGUCUGAUUAGCUAGUUGGUAAGGUAACGGCUUACCAAGGCGACGAUCAGUAGCCGGCUUGAGAGAGUGAACGGCCACAUUGGGACUGAGACACGGCCCAGACUCCUACGGGAGGCAGCAGUGGGGAAUAUUGCACAAUAGU